GUUUAUAUAGUUUAAUAAAAAUUUUGGUUUGUGGUUCCAGGGAUAUAUUUAUAUUGUAAACA
rnacentral:tRNA from 1 species